rnacentral:rRNA from 1 species
UGCCUCUCGAAAUACCAUGAGAGGUCCCUCCUGCCCAGUGAAAAAAUUUUUAACGGCCGCGGUAUCCUAACCGUGCAAAGGUAGCAUAAUCACUUGCCUAUUAAUUGUAGGCUAGAAUGAACGGAUAAACGAAAUAAGCCCUGUCUCAAUUAAAUUAGAUAAAAAUUAUAUUCUAAAUGAAGAUAUUUAGAUAAAAACGAAGGACAAGAAGACCCUAUAGAGCUUUAUAUUUAUUUUUAGAGAAAAAAACUCAAAACAAAUUCGGUUGGGGCGACCAAGGAUAUAAAAAUCAUCCUAUAUUUUAAGAUUUAUAAAUCUCUAUAAAGACCCUUAUUAAAGAUCUUAAGAACAAGCUACCUUAGGGAUAACAGGCUAAUCUCACUAAAGAGUCCUUAUCUACAGUGUGGGUUGGCACCUCGAUGUUGGCUUAGGAUAUCAAUAUGGCGCAAAAGUCAUAAAGUGAUGGUUUGUUCAACCAAUAAUUUCCU